UGUCUUUCUGUAUUUGGAGCACCUGCUCGUCUGCUGUGAUGUCGCCGGUUAUUUGGAGAUUCAUUCACACUUUUAAAUACGCGCACUCACACACUUUAUCGGUAUAAAAAAAAUAUCUUUGACGUCAGCUUUAUAACCGUCGCAGCGAGCGUGGUUAAAAAGAAACCGAUUUUAUAUAAAUUCGGUAGUAGUUCGCCUUCUUUACUCACUUGAUGAAAAUAAUCACAAAUGUUUAGUACAAUUGGAGCCAAAUGCUAACAAGUGUUUAAUGAAAUCUCACUUUGACGACUGUUGUCAUUGUAGCCCAGAAUUCGGGUAUUUAUACAAAGUCUCGUCAAUUUGGAAAAUAGUCGAAUUAGAAUUUCCUUCCAUUAUGCGAUUUAGUCUGUUAAUUGUAAAGAGGUUUUUGCAACAGUUAAUUGCCUUCGUUUCCGUUCGUCAUAUCAACGGCAAGUGCUUGUGGCUUUUUAAGUGAAAUUCUCGGCAGGACAUAAAAGUGUGCAUUUCAGCAAUGAAUUGGCUGGACAUUUGUGUAUAGCAUAUCCUGAUGCAAAGUUAUUAAUUCCUAACAUUAAAUGUAAUUGAGGUUUUAUCGAUGAGCGCACGGGGAACUUAAUUGCAAUAUUUAAAAAAAUUUCGUUACUAUAGGUGUUCAUUCAUCCAUCGUAAUAUAAAUCGAAAUACUAUGUAUCAAAUAAAUACUUUUCAACAUAAUAUAAAUUCAACUUUCUUUUCCUUUCAAAACAAAUAAUUUCACGCAGGGCAAUGCCUGCGGGGUCAACUAGUGUUUUUAUAAACAUUACACUUUUGAAGCCUGUCUAAAUGAAAGUAUUUUAAAUCAGAAAUUGAAGAUGUACUCAAGAAAUGUAAAAAUAAAAAAUAGACUGGAAAUAUAACUGGCAGUUCAUAGCAGUUUAUGGUAAAGUUCAUAUAUACAGUUGCUCCCCACAGAACCUAAUACAGUAGUAUUUGGAAUGACAAGGAGUGAAAAAUCCACUAUAGUCGCGCUCAGCUUGUCGAACAGUGCCAGAAAAAACAUCUAGAAAUAUAAGAAGCUAUUUAUCUAGUCCUGAACCUUCAAACAUGAUCAGAGCUAUUAGGAGCUGUUAUGUGUGCUCAAAACUAUUUAAGGAGUGCCAUAGGUUAUUAUCGUUAGCGUCUAGCUAUUUUACAAUUAGACACGUCUGGGUGCCGGGUCACAGCGUAAUCGCUGCUAACUACAGAGCGGUUGAGCUCACAAGAAAGUGCACCCGUCGUUCUACUUCACCAUGCUGGGAACGAGUCGGGACUCUGCUAUCCUCUUGUUCUUUAGCUCUGGAUCAAUUGAUCUCUCUUGGUAAACGCUGGUUAGCUACUAAAACCUUUACGGUUGCGAGAUCAUUUUGAAGGAAAGCAGAACACAAGAGGUCGGCAGAAUAGGACGUGCAUUCAAAAAGGUUCACCUUUCCGCAAUAGUGGGCGUGCUCACUGGACACCGCGGAAUUAACAUACAUGUGAUGAGGCUAGGAAUCCUGCUGAAACAAACUGCCAUAGCUGUAGAAGGCUCUGUGGAAACACCAAGUCUAUUCCUCCUACACUGUCCAGCGUUCGCAAGACUGAGGUUGGACUAUAUCGGUAGCUAUACUUUUGGCGAACCAUGUGAACUUGCCGGAAUAGACAUUAGCCACCCCAUAAAAUUUGUGUUAGACCCAAAGCACCUCGGCAAUAUGCAACGGUCUUAUUUGUGAUGCAUACUUUGGAAUCUUUUAGCAUUACAAUGUACCGGCACCUUCAGUUGUCCAAGUGGGGGUCCAUCGCGACACCCAUUUCGAGGGUCUGCCUUUGAACCUAACCUAUGUUAUCAGACAUUAGUUAUCAUUCACUCCACCUGGAAAUACGCCAAUUUUCCAUUGCUAAAAUUUGAGUGGAGCAAUUUGAAAAUCAAAAUUUGUAUCGAUUUAUGGAUAUACAUAUGUAUAUGAAUGGGUAGUUAAAAUAUUCCAUUUAGUUUCGUUUUAUUAAUGAAUUUUUUUAAAUCUUACAUUACACCUUAUUUCAUACUUACUAAUUUUUUGUUUAAUAUGUAGUGUGGUAGCCUUUAGCCUUUAAUAUGUAAGAUUUUCAACCUUCUUCGUUCUUUAUGGUCUGAUUUUGUUUCACUCUUCCAAAAUUGCAUUUUUCACCUGUAAUUUGUCGCUUAUAUGGUGUUUACGGAUACUGUUCUAAGUUCAUAAAUUAUAGAUCACGUAUAUGCGGGGUCAUUGCGCUUGUGGUUCCAUUAAAGGAGGAUAAUUCCAUAUCAGCCGUGUCUCCAAGAUUGUCUGAUUUUGUUUUCAAUCCUUAUCCUGGUAAUGACAAAAAAGUUUCUCGGUAUUUUAUAAGUACUAUGUAAAGGUAGUAUUAUUCAUAAUAAACCGAUGAAAGACUAAAUUUUCAAUGUCCUGGUGUUACAUUUUUGGAGGCCAGUAUUGGAUUUCCACCAAACAUAAGUUAUACCAUAUGAGUUAAAACGUUCGUGAGCAAAAACUGCAGUCUUCCAAAACUCAAAAUGGUCAACUUAGUAGAUAUUGUGGAUAUACUAAUUAUGUUACUAAUACAGUAUACUCUCGAAAAGUAAAUCAAUUGGUAUUUUGGGUAAUUUACUUUUUCGAAUAAUUUACUUUUCCAAAUAUAUACAUAAAUUAUCUGUUUUUAUAAUAUUAAAUGCAUUUUUAAACUUAAAAAAUUCAUCCAUUUAUUUGCUUCAAUAAAAUAUAUGGAUUUACAUGAAAAACAUAUUUACAUUUACAUACAUACAUAUGUAUUUACUAUGAAGAGAAAAAAUCUUGAAUAUUCUUUUGUUUUUUUUCUUUUGCAAUAUAUUUUCUGACCAUUUUUGGACGACAAUUCAAAAAGUCUGACACCUGAUUUGCAUCGUUUUCAUUUUUAAACCAGUGGAUCAAGUAGGAGAGUUUAUUUACUAAAAAAACGCGAUAAACAAGAGAGUAAGUGUUUUUGCAACAUCGUAAAAAAUGCUGCUUGCUUCGUUUCGAAUUUUUUAUCACACUCUCUGAAAAGUAAAUUAAAAAAUUU